UACGUAGGGCGCAAGCGUUAUCCGGAAUUAUUGGGCGUAAAGAGCUCGUAGGCGGUUUGUCGCGUCUGCCGUGAAAACCUGCAGCUUAACUGUGGGCGUGCGGUCGAUACGGGCAUCACUGGAGUUCGGCAGGGGAGACUGGAAUUCCUGGUGUAGCGGUGAAAUGCGCAGAUAUCAGGAGGAACACCGGUGGCGAAGGCGGGUCUCUGGGCCGAUACUGACGCUGAGGAGCGAAAGCGUGGGGAGCAAACAGG
rnacentral:rRNA from 1 species